GUGAACGCUGGCGGUAGGCCUAACACAUGCAAGUCGAACGGCAGCACAGUAAGAGCUUGCUCUUACGGGUGGCGAGUGGCGGACGGGUGAGGAAUACAUCGGAAUCUACUUUUUCGUGGGGGAUAACGUAGGGAAACUUACGCUAAUACCGCAUACGACCUACGGGUGAAAGCAGGGGAUCUUCGGACCUUGCGCGAUUGAAUGAGCCGAUGUCGGAUUAGCUAGUUGGCGGGGUAAAGGCCCACCAAGGCGACGAUCCGUAGCUGGUCUGAGAGGAUGAUCAGCCACACUGGAACUGAGACACGGUCCAGACUCCUACGGGAGGCAGCAGUGGGGAAUAUUGGACAAUGGGCGAAAGCCUGAUCCAGCCAUACCGCGUGGGUGAAGAAGGCCUUCGGGUUGUGAAGCCCUUUUGUUGGGAAAGAAAAGCAGCAGGUUAAUACCCCGCUGUUCUGACGGUACCCAAAGAAUAAGCACCGGCUAACUUCGUG
rnacentral:rRNA from 1 species